UAAAUUUUGAGGGGGGGCCACCAAAACAUUAAUGAAUACUUAACGGCAGAGUAUCUGAGUUUGGAGGUAGGUGCCGUUGGUGGCCAAGGCUAGUCGGCGAUCUAGCCUUGUUAGGCAAAUGACCGCAAUGGCAAACAUUAGGCAAAACACUGGCAAACAUUUAUGGCAAACUGGCAAAUGGCAAACAGCAAUGGCAAACAGCUAUGGCAAAACAGCAAAAAAAGGGGGGGGGGGCACCAAAACAUUAAUGAAUACAUAAUAUAUAAAAAUCAAAGCAAUAAACUUUCGUAACUCUUUCACUUAUGAAAACUCAAAGUUGGCAAAGUAAUGUUUUAGUACAUGCAAUUUUAGUCAAUUUAAAUUACUCAUGUAACAAUUAGGAAUUUUACAUAUUUGUGAUAUUCAGUGCAUUUUAAAAUGCAAUUUAUUUUCUUAGGAAAAAACUUCAUCUUCAUGACUGUUUACUAAAAGUUAGUGGAAGUGACAUUGAGUAUUACAGUCAAACCGGAUGUUCUGUUCCCAUGAGUUUUGCAACAUUGCAAUCAAUCUUGCAGUGAACUCUAUGUCUUUUAUCUGGAACGAUAACAUGCAGGACAAACAUGAAGCAAUAAAGGAAUACCGAAUGGUUUUCCGUGCAGGAUUGCGUGAUCCAUGUACGAGGG